GAUGAACGCUAGCGGCAGGCUUAAUACAUGCAAGUCGUGGGGCAGCAGGUCCCGCAGCAAUGCGGGAUGCUGGCGACCGGCAAACGGGUGCGGAACACGUACACAACCUUCCUUUAAGUGGGGCAUAGCCUAAGGAAACUUGGAUUAAUACCCCGUAACAUAUUGAAAAGGCAUCUUUUUAAUUAUUAUAGCAGCAAUGCGCUUGAAGACGGGUGUGCGUCNGAUUAGGUAGUUGGCGGGGUAACGGCCCACCAAGCCUUCGAUCAGUAACUGGUGUGAGAGCACGACCAGUCACACGGGCACUGAGACACGGGCCCGACUCCUACGGGAGGCAGCAGUAAGGAAUAUUGGUCAAUGGACGCAAGUCUGAACCAGCCAUGCCGCGUGGAGGAUGAAGGUCCUCU
rnacentral:rRNA from 1 species